GGGGCCUUGGCGCUGCUGCGCGCCUUCCCCGCCGGCCCAGGUGUCAGGUCUCUGUGGCUCUCACCUGCCCGGGCCGCUGGGAGGACUCCCGGGAGAGCCCGGAGCCGGGAAGAGAUGGACUUGGUGGUCUUCGAGGAUGUGGCUGUGAACUUCACCCUGGAGGAGUGGGCUUUGCUGAAUUCUGCUCAGAAGGAGCUCUACAGAGACGUGAUGCUGGAGACCUUCAGAAACCUAGCCUCAGUGGAUGAUGAGACUCAAUGUAAGGCCAAUGGGUCAGUUUCUCAG